CAAUCCCUCUUGUCACCCCAUUCUUGACCACAUAAGGUCUUGAGCCUUCUCCAUCAUUUUCUUGCCAAGUAAGAGUUACGCGAAAUAUAUGUUACACUGAAAAUGACUUUAUCACAAGUGCAAAAACUGUAAUGAAAAAAAGCC